ACGUCGAAAGUGAUCUCGGCCUCGGCCGUGGCCCGGUCAUCGAUAGUGCAGGGAGAGGAACGCCGAGAGCCUUCCCGUGUUUGGGGGGGGCCUCACCCCCCUCCCAAACCCUGUUGCUGUCGGACA
rnacentral:snoRNA from 1 species